AUCUGCAUCCAGUUCAGGGAGCUGGUACUACCAGAUGUAUGUUAACCUCUUCCAGGAGCAGUGUUACUUAGAUAAUAAUUCUGGGAAAUUUGGAAGAGAUAUUAAAGUUGCAGGUUGGCAGGAAAGAGGUGGAUUUGACAGGCAAGGGAGAAGGCUCUACAAGAAGGAGUCCAGAGGAGCCCUGAAAGGAUGGAGCAACUGAAACAAAACACCAAAUCACGGCAGCCUGUAGGCAGAGGGAACACUCCCUGCAUGACUGCUGCACAAAUGGAAAAGAUGUUCAGUGAGGAAAAGAAUACAAGUUUGUGAAUUGUACUGAUUUUUCUAGAAGAUAGCAGUUAAAAUGAUGUUUGACAGAGAGUCUGUCACAAAGAGAAGCUAUUGCAAGCUUCCCACUAAGCACAACUCUGUCUAAUACAAAAGAAAUUGUUAUGUGCAAGGAAAA